rnacentral:tRNA from 1 species
GGCUCGUUGGUCUAGGGGUAUAUUUCUCGCUUCGGGUGCGAGAGGUCCCUGGUUCAAAUCCUGGACGAGCCC